CCCUUAGAUGUUCUGGGCCGCACGCGCGCUACACUGAACAGUUCAACAAGUCUUAACCUUGGCCGAUAGGUCUGGGUAAUCUUUGAACGCUGUUCGUGAUUGGGAUAGACCUUUGCAAUUAUGGGUCUUCAACGAGGAAUUCCUAGUAAACGCAAGUCAUCAGCUUGCAUUGAUUACGUCCCUGCCCUUUGUACACACCGCCCGUCGCACCUACCGAUUGAAUGGUCCGGUGAAAUCUCGGGACGGCGGCUUGGUCGCUUGCGUCCGACUGCUGAAACUUGAUUAAACCAUAUCAUUCAGAGGAAGGUGAANUCGUAACA
rnacentral:rRNA from 1 species